CAACUGCAAACUUGACAUUAACUUUGGGUGUCACUUUACGUUUUCGAUUUUUAUUUAUUAAAUUUAAAACAAAUUGUUGAGCGAUUUGUUAAAUUCAAGUGAUUUCUGAUUAAUCGCUCAAGAUGAUUGCCUUAAUGAACAGGAUAUUAGACUGGUUUAAAAGUCUCUUUUGGAAGGAAGAAAUGGAAUUAACUUUGGUUGGACUGCAGUAUUCAGGAAAAACAACCUUUGUUAAUGUUAUUGCUUCGGGUCAAUUCAGUGAAGACAUGAUUCCAACAGUUGGCUUCAACAUGAGGAAAAUUACCAAGGGCAAUGUAACCAUUAAAGUGUGGGACAUCGGAGGCCAGCCUAGGUUUAGAUCGAUGUGGGAACGUUAUUGUAGAGGAGUGAAUGCCAUCGUGUAUAUGGUAGAUGCGGCAGAUCCUGAUAAAAUUGAGGCUUCUAGAAAUGAAUUGCAUAAUUUAUUGGACAAACCUCAGUUAGCCGGUAUUCCUGUGUUAGUCUUGGGCAAUAAAAGAGAUAAGCCCCAAGCUCUAGACGAAAAUGGCCUUAUUGAAAGAAUGAAUCUCUCUGCUAUACAAGACCGUGAGAUCUGCUGUUAUUCGAUAUCUUGUAAAGAAAAAGACAACAUUGAUAUAACUUUGCAAUGGUUGAUCGCGCACUCCAAAUCUGGUAUGCGUUAAAUUACUAAAACAAUUGUAGUAUAUACAAAAAGUCAACUUUAAGGAUACACACUACCUACUACUAUACAAAGUAAACAUAUUUUUCGUUGAACUUGGUCAGUGGAGGUUGUAAUUUUGAUAGUAUCCAAUGUGGCAGUUGCAAUUUGUGUUUCAAGGUGGUUUGUUUCAUUUUACAGUCCACAAUUAACAACACAAUUAACAAUUAGUAAUUUUGAAAGAUUACAUUACAUCCCACCAGUCUUUCAUUUAAAUUAUUUUUUUAAUUGUCCUACCGCUACCUUCUACAGUGGUACUUAUCAUAACUAGUUUAAGCUUCUAUGUUUUAUUUGUUAGUUAAAUCGAUUAAAACAUAGCCUCUCUGAACCUUAGUUAUUAAUUGUGAAAAAACAUCACCUUACUUUACGUAGUAUACCUCAAACUAAUUAUUCUAAAAAUGUGCAACAAACCACUAAAAAAUGAUCACAGUGUCCCAAAUAGCUUAAAGUAAAGUACACAUAUAUGCAUUCGCAAUUAUGACGAUAUUGAUGACGUAGUAAAGAAAUGGUUGAGCACAGAUGUCACAGAUUUUGACGAAAAACGUUUUUUUGCAAAGAGUAGCGAGUGUUUUUCCCUUUAAGGCAAUAUGUUAUUGAUUUAAAAGACUAAAAAUCUUAAUAUUGAUUCAUCUAUCGCAUUCAAUGAUUCUAAUUACACUUAAUGUAUACGUUUGCCUCGUAGCAUGAUCGUGAUAAUAGUAGCGAUUACGUAUAUGCAUUCAACAGACUAAGCGUACAUUUGAACGUUUGUCUCUUAUUUGCAACAAAGGGUUGUCUUUUUAGUUUUGCAUAUAGCCAUAAAGACAAAAAAUGUGUAGACUUAAAGUACUUUAUUGCUUUUCAAAAUAUGUCUCACCAAGAUCGAUACACUAAAUUAGGCCAGUCUUCAGUUGACACUUGCAAAAUCGCUGUUUUAAAGGCAUUAUGGUGGUACGGGGGUUGCAACCGCCGAUGAUGGGGUUGAUUAAGUUAAAACACUAAUUACCGGAAUACAUUUAUUUAAGUUACCAUGUACGACAGUAAAUAGUUGGUGUAAGGGAUGGAAACGUCUAUACUCUAACCACGUCGGUUUUUGAAUAAUGAAUAAUCUCUUUCUUUACUUUCUACGUGUCUAUAAAUAAAUCCCAAUUGUUUGUUAUGAUUGACCAUACUUGAAUGUGACCGUGAAUUAGUAAUAGCAGUGUAAUUGCUGACUUCGGUGUUUUCAAAAUGCGUGGCCUAGAUUACAAAACCAAUGUCACUCAUUUACGAAAUCCAAACAAUGCAUGUAAAUAAUAUUUGCUUAAGACCUUUAAAAAAUUAAAUCGAUAUGGAUUAACUCUUAUUUUUUGGAUACUAAUAUAAAUCCUUUACAUGGAUGGCUGCUUCUUGCGACUGUAAUCGCUGCAUUGAAUUUUUGAUGUUUGGGAACGUGAAUAAGUCGUUGUGACUUAGGUCGGGGCUAAACGGUGGAUGGUUUAACAAUUCGAUGUUUUGAAGCUCCAAAAACUCUAUUGUCUUUUGGACAGUGUGAGAACUUGCAUUGUCCUGAUGUAGGAUGGUUCGGCGUUGUAUGUUGCUUUGUCAAAGUUUCGCAAUAACUUCUGGUAAACAAACGGUUAUAUAGGUACCAAUCAGAAGUAACUGUUCUUUGAUCUCCUAAAGCACAAUUGUUGCCCCAUGACCAGAUUUUGACACAAAAGUUGCAACCAUUAUCUUCGACACACUUCGAGAACGGAUCAGUGGUGUUUGUUUUUCCUCAUCGAGGAACACCCACACAGUGGAUUGGUGUUUAUUUUCCGGUUCGUGGGAGUAAAUCCAAAAUUCAUCGCCACUAACAGUACUAUAAACGUCUUUUGAGCUUCGUUUGUUGAACCGUUCCAAUGUUUUUCGACACAAAUUGACGUGAACCGAUUUUUGCUCUUUUGUGAGCAAAUGAGACAUCCAACGGGAAACCAACUUCGUAACACCCAGUUCUUCAUGUAGGAUCUAUUGGAUCGAGGUCUUUGAAAUGUACAAAGAUGCCUCUAUUUCCCGGUAUGUUAAACGACGGUCAUCCUUAAUUAGGUGACGAACCGCAUCAAUGUUUUGCUGUGUGAUUGUUGUUUUGGGUGGACCUGGCCUGUAUUCGUCGCUGAGAGUUGAGAGAUCACGUUAAAAUUCGCAAUAUCAGCGGGAAAUAGUUGACUGGUGUCAUGCUUCAUUCCCAAACACAGAAACCAUUUCAGCGAGACAUUGCUGUUGGGAUAAUCCUCUCCUAAAAUUGUAAAAAAUUAUUGCUCGAAAAUGUUCUCGGCUAAGAUCCAUUUUUCGACUAACUUGCUAAUUUCAAAAAUUCACUGUAUCUACACGACUAUCGCAAUGAAACUCUGGAUUUAUAUCAACAAAAGAUUGAGGUUACUUUGUGGCGUCCUCUAAGCGGCUAUAUGCAAAACUAAAAAGACAAACCUCGUAGCAUGAUCGUGAUAAUAGUGGCGAUUGCGUAUAUGCUUCUUUCAACAGAAUAAGCGUACUUUUGAACGACUUUUGUCUCUUAUUUGUAACAAACGACGGUAGUACCUUGUAAAUUUAAAGCACAAAACUGGUCUUAGAUGAACCUUACAAUUUUAGCUCAAGUGAAGUAGGCUUUCACAAAUCAAUCUAAUUUGUUGUUUUCAAAUUUGAAUGAUUCGAUAAGUUUGUUGUAAAUAUGCAUAAAAUAUUAUGUCUAAGGAUUACACAAGCAGCUACACAAAGAAAAUAACUAAACUAAUGACAAGAAAACGGUCCAUCCAACUGUUUUCUUAAUUUGAUGCUAUUGAAUUUUUUCAUAAACCACUAAUUUAGUGGACUUUUUUUAUUUGAUGGAUCAACGAUUGAGUUAGUAAGUUGUAUGGUUUUUUUUAGUUGAAUUUUUUUCCAUACAAUAUUCAACUUUAAUCUAGUUUAAUGGAAGUAACUCCUUUUAGCUUAUAUCACUAACAAUAGUAAUCUAGAACCUAAUUCACGCUGUAGUCCUAAUAGUGCGAAAGAUUUUUGUGUUAUAUUUAAAUACUUAUUGUCACGUACAAUGGCCUGAAUGAGUAAAAAGGAUGCCCAGAAGUUUGGCGCUGUCUCUGUUAACCUAAAAAUAAAACCCAGGGAGGUCUUCUCUUUGAAUUUAAGGUAAACUAAGAAACCCUUUCAAGGAUUUUGAAGGACACAACGGCGAGGAGAUACUGAACCAGUUUAUUUAAAACAGAAUCAUACUAACUGAAACGAAAUUAGAUUUUAAAAAGUUAACUAAACAAAACGGGCGCCCCUUAUCUUUUUUCUGAGAGACAUGAAUUACUCGAGGAUCUUAGAUGUUAAAGGAUUCGUAAAAAAUUACAAAAAAAAACCGGAAGGAUAAAUAAGCAUUUAGAUUAUGUUUAUGCUGCGUUCGAAAAUGUUAAAUAAAACAUUAGGAAAUUUAUUUGAUAUACAGAGUGGACAAACAGUGCUGCAAUAUUUCGAAUGUAACAAAGAUAGGUAAAUUCGUCGUAUGAAAUUAAUGCAACAUUCUUAUUUCAUCAUCGUAAUGACAAGCAUGAAAAUAAAAAUGUAAGUUAAACAAUUACUGAGAAUUGAACUACGUGUAACAAUCGUCCCAUUGAUGUAGAAUGGGAAUCUUUUAUUGCAUUGAGUUUUUCUAGGUCAGAGAUCCUUCGUUUGUAACUUUCUCUGUAGCCAUAAACUUAUACGAUAAUAGUAUAUGAUGCAACGAGCAUUUAAUGAUGGUCAUUAUUAUGAUGCGAGUAUGACGGAUACGACACGAGCCGCGAAGCGGCAAGUUUCAUAUAGAAUACGAGCAUCAUAAUGACAAUGUAAUGCACGUUGUAUGCAGGAUUUUUUCUAUCAUCAUUCACAACAAAAAAAUAUAUUCAAAUUUAUUUUGUAACACAAACAAAUUAUGUAGUUAAUUAAUUAUUUUGUUGAUACAUUUAUGUUCUGAAUAUUACAAUUAUUAGAAUGAAUUUAAGGUUAAAUUUUCAAUAUAUUUAUCGUAUCAAAGCGUAUACAUUUGAAUUGACAUUUUUCAUUGCGCAAGCGCCACCUUUGAGACAGAGUUUCUAUUGGUUAAAAAACUAUUGAACGUCGAAACGUUAAUAAAAUCAUUUUUUUUUUUUUUAGUUAAAUUGUGGCUCUUUUCCCAUUUAGAAUAGUUGGUUAAAAAUCUGUAUCGUAAUGAAAAUCUGUCAUGAUGAAGCCCAUUUUGAUACCUUAUUAAAUUCAUAAUUGAUAUAUUAAGGUAUGAGAAUAGUCUUGUAUAAAUAUCUAUGUGCAAGAACAACCAUAGCCUUAAAAAUAAAUAAUCAAAUAGAAAGAGAAAACAGAAAAGAAAAAAUAAAAAACGUAUUUCGAUCGGAUCAUUGGCUUAUAAAAAAUUUUAAGAAAAUUAUUUAAGAAUUAUUUAUAUUUAAGAAAAAUUUUGGAUGGUUCGUUUUUUUUUAGUUUGAGUUUAAGAAAAAUUCACACAGUUAAUUAUUAUAUGUUUACACCUUGUAUGAACUGAAACGGAUAACUUAAGACUUAAACCAGACUGUGCCGAUUGUGGAAUACAAAAUAUGUUGACUUUGAUCGAGUUUUGGUUUUUAGGUUGAACAUAUUGAUUUGGACCAGUUUUCAACUUGUACUGAAAUAUUUUAGAUCGUAAAAGGGUAUUUGAACUAAAAGCCAAAACUUAAGGGGUCCGUACACUCAAUUCAAUAGAUAUGUUAGUACUAUAAAGCUAUAUAUGCGUAAAACAAGAGUCAAAAAGAUUAGAAAGCAUGAAAUAAGAAGUUAACGUUUGAUUUCAAGUAAUCGAAUGAACGAUCUUUCAAUAAAGUCGUCCCAGGAACGCCACUCAUAAAUAUUGGCAAUACCAGUUUAAAGUCAUCUACUUUAAAAUGUAUAAUAUAUGUCUGAAUUGUGUAUAUGAAUGAGACGGAUAAAAUUAAAUUAUUAGAAGAUAUUUUUUAUCAAGUAACAAAAACAGUAUAUGUGUUUAAUUUGUUAAAGUUUUGUAUUUUGAUAACGAUUUCCAAAGUCGAAAUAGAAACAUCAAAUAAAUUUAAUUUCAAAGUAAAAUUGUGGCUUAUUCCCAAUUAAAAUAGUAAAGUAUAUUAAAAUGCCACAAUAAAAUAGCUUCAGAACAAUAAUAUGGAAUUAGAAACAAUACAGAGACAAUGUCAGAAGUAUUUAUUUCAUACCAUGAUGAUGAUUUUUGUUUUACGUUGAACUGUUUUUAAAUUUUGUUUUCUUUUUUGCAAUAAGCGAUCUUCAAGAAUACGUAGUACUGACUUCUGUGCACUAUAACUAUUUGAUUUGCCUUUUAAAAUAAACUGCGAGGCGAAGUCAGGGAUAUAGAAAAUUAUGAUCAUUUUCAUAGUUGAUUUUUUCGUAAACAGAUUAACGGAUUCCGUUAAUUUUUUUAUUAUUUUAGAUUUUUCUUUAGUAUUUACACAAUUGUGCAAAGGUUUACUCAAACUUCUUUUUUAUACUUAUACCGGGUGGAGGAAAAGAAUGUUUUUUUAUGUUAAGUUUGAGACACCCUGUAGGGAGGAAAAGGUACAAAUGUGAGUACAGUCAAACCUGCCAUAUCCGGAUCAAUGUGGCGACAGACUGAUCCGGAUAUGAAAAAAUCCGGAUAUCAAGACCACUACUUCUUUUAUAGUCUCUGAAACGUUUUCUCCUUCAUACAUUCCAGUAAUCAACGCGUCAAUACCUUUCGUCGAAAGACACGUUUUAUAGAUUCUAUAAUACAUUAUUUCGCCAUCUUUUAGUUCUUCUUUUAGUGCGUUGUCCAACAGCAGGACUGCCUUUCUCGGUAGAUCCGGACGGCGCAGAACCGUCCGGAUAUGGGGAGGUCCGGAUAUGACAGGUUGUACUGUACAUCGUAAUCGUAUUUUAGUUAUAUGUUUUGUGAACAUUUUGUUUUUUGAAUGUCUUUGAUAUCUUUAGAAACAAAGACAAUAGACGGUUUUGUAGUUUAACAUGUGUUUUAACCGAAACAAAAGUUUGAUACACCCUGUAGGAAGGAAAAUGUACAAAGGUGGGUCAAAGGCGAAAAAGAUGUAAAAUAAUUUUAAAAAAAUUAGCCGAAUCCGUUAAUCUGUUCACGAAAAAAUCAACUAUGAAAAUGAGCAUAAUUUUCUAUAUCCCUAACUUAUGUCUCGCAGUAUAUAUAUUAUAUAUAUUUCUGCGUUUUGGAUUAGUUGUCCAAACUAGAAUUUUGAGUUUAUGGGCCCUUUGCCAAACACUUUAGGAUAUAUUCACUUGCUGAUGAUUGUAGAACGUAAGUUAAUAUAAUAAAUUCAAAAUAAUGAAAAUUAAUGAGUACCAAAAGCAUGGCACUGUAAAUAUAAUUAGUAAAAUUGUGUAUUAUGUGUUAAAAAGAAAAAAAUUAGUUUCGCCGUUGUUAAAUUGUAUGUACAUGUUUGACUUUUUAACAUAGUGGACUUUUUUUAUUCAAGUUUAAGAAUACGUCGAUAAAAUUUUUAAUGUAGAUCUGUUUUUUCUAGAAAGAAAGUGUACAUUUAAAAUACCACAGGUAAAUCAGAGUAAAAGUUAAGAAAUAGAUGUAAAGUAUAGAAAAAUAACGUUAAAUAGUGUUUUUAAACACACUCUUACAAUUGAAUAGUUUAACCAAAAAACAUAUGGCGUUUUAUGAUUAGUUUUGUAUAUUUUAACCCUGACUUAUAAUAACUAGUAAUCAUCGUGACAUUUGAAAUACAAUUUUUAAAUAAUGAUAAACUGAUAUUGUAUUUUACGUCAUACUAAUAGCACACUUUUUGGAUUAGACAGUCAUUAAGACAAAAACAGUUUUUGAUGGCUUAGUAAUAACUAAAUAUUAAUAGUAUAAACGCUGUAGUUGAAUUCGCAUAUAACUGUCAAUUUAAGUAUCCAAGCAACAUAAUUUGCAUUAAUGUACUCUGUCCCUGGCUUCUUUGCACAUGCGUCAUAUUCAAUUUAUACGUUCAAACAGUUAACAUCUAAUGUCUAUCGUGACUGUAGGAAUAGGACUUUUCAUUACAAAAGAGUGUCAGCCAUUUUUUUCGUAAACAAAUAUGUUAGGUUAGGUUAGUUAAACAGUUAUGAGCGUGCUAAUAACGCAAAAGAUGGAAAACAUAUUAAGUUAUGAGAUAAAAAGAAAUAAAACUAGUAGAAUUAUGAAAUUUAGCGAUGAAAACCUAUAAAUUUACAUUAUAUUUAUUGUUUUUCAUCUUAUAGAUAGGUGUAUCAGAGGAGUAUUCAACUAAAAUUAUCACAGUUACAGUGGCAGUUGCCAAACUCGUCCGAUACGUCUAAAGGUGGGAAACAAUAAAUAGAAUGUAAAUUUAUAGGUUUUUACCGCUAAAUUUCCGAACUCUACUAGUAUCAUUUCUUUUGUUUUCCAUCUUUUGCGUUAUUUUGCCGGUUAUUAGCGCGCUCAUCACUGUAUAGCGGGCGGGCUAGAUCAGGUGGUAGAUGUCUGAUUUCCACGCAGGUAGGCCGGAGAUCGAAAUCCAAUGCCGACGAGAACAUCUAGACAUUUUUAAAAAUGUCUAUAGGCCCCAGGUCGACUCGGCCUGAAUAAAAUGAGUAUCUUGGGUAAACCCAGGGGUAAUAAUAGGCGGUUGAAACGUAGCACUGACCCUGUUACCUUCCUUGUAUAGCGUAGGCCCUAGAUAUAUCAGACUACCCUGCUAUAAUCCCAAAGCCGCGUUAGAGAUAUAAAACGGGAGACUAUUAUUAUUAGGUUAGUUAUAUAAAUAACAAUAAAGUGCAUCUGAACAUAUAAUAUCGCAUCUGUAGGAAAAGGAACAACUAAAUGGUGUCGUUAUGAAAUAUAUAACAGUGAUAUACACUGUAAAUAUUUUAAAGACAAUACAUAUUAUUUUUUAAAUGAAUUACUUCAUAAACAAUCUCGUGCUAUAAGUACCUACAAUAUUUUAUUGUAUUAAAUACUAUUCAGUACAUGCAUUUGUCAUAACAUAAUACUGUCUAUGAUUUUAUUGAUUAAAUACCAUAAUGAUGUUGCUAAAUUAGCACCUAUAUUUCGGCAAUUAAUUAAAAUCGGUUGACAUAAUUAAUUACAAUAAAAAAUUAUAUAAAUAAUUAUUUGAACAGUAAACAACUAAUGGUGCAUAACCUCUCAAUUGAUUAGAACUGUACGAAAAACACGGCGACUGCGCAUGCGCUCGUCAUUUGAUCAAAAGGCAUACUAGGAUUGUGACUGACUUGAGUGGCACAUAGACAUAAUAAGAAUUGUCUAGGUAAGGUAUGUGCCGGUCUAUCAAUAGAGGUAGAAACGUCAAUAUUCACUUUGAAGUGAUCUUUGUGGGGUGGAGCUUUCUGUGUCUGUGACACGCACGUGUAAAGAGAGAUAGAGAGACCACCAAAUUGAGUUCCCCGCGUUUCACUAUUUUGCUCACGAUGUCUUGUCUAUUCUUAUUCUGUCUAUGGAGUGGCAAGUGUCAAUGCGAAUGCAAAAUGUGAACGUAACUGUCAACGGACUUUCUGAUUUAUUACAAAUCUUCAUUAGGGCUUCCGUUAUAAAAUUUACGAUUAAACAGCCCCAGGCCAAUUAGAUCACUUAGUAUUAUUCACACAGAAAUAAUUAUAAAGAUCAUAAAUAAAGGUAAUAACACGACGAGAUCCAGAAUACCGAUAUGUUAGCUAACUGAAUUGAGCAAAAGAACAAGAAUUGACAUAAAAAUGUUUAAAUUAAGAACUAGUAUUGACAUAAAUAUUAGUUAAUUAAUAAGCAUUAAUUGAAUACAUAAAUAUUAAAAUUGUCUUUAGAUACUGGUAGAAUUAUUUUUGAAAAAAAAAUAUAAGUUCAAGGUACUAAGAUUCAUUUAAAAUUUGAGUAGGUAAACAUUUUCAAAACUUCCAAGAAGACAGUAGGUGAAUUAUCCACCAUCCCUCACGAUAACGCUGUCUUUGUUUGAUGUACAAUAUAUUCAAGAAUAACUUCAUGUAUAUGCAAAGAACCGGGGAUAGACUAUUACUAUACCUUUUGUACUUUUCAGCCAUCUAGUUUAGAUAUUUGUCAUUUUCGAUUUCUUCAGUAGCAAGUUUUUUUUGCUUUUAACAAGUGUAUAUGCCUUCGAAACGCCUUAUUAGAAUAUAGGCUUUAGGUAAUAAACAUCUACCAGGUAUAUCCUUGAUACAUACUUAAUUAAUUUAUUUAGAAAAAACUAAAAAAAACUAUUUUUUGAAUAUUAAUUGAAAAUGGUUAUUCAUUUUUAAUUUAUUUAGAAUUUUAAGAAAUUUUUGUAUACAGUGAUGAGUGCGCGAAUAACUGGCAAAAUAACGGAAAAGACAGAAAACAUAAUAUGUUAUGAAAUAAAAAGAGAUGAAACUAGUAGAGGUGGGAGAUUAUCAAUAGAAAACUAUAAAUUUACAUUAUUUUGGUAGUUUCACACCUUUAAACGUAUCGGAGUCAAACUGUCACAGGAGAAUUUUAUAAAGGCGGUAUUUACGAAUCUCAUUGAUAGAUCACAUUAAUACAUCACAAAAAAUUGUCGGCCAUGAUGGCAAGUUGCUUUGUGUACUUGUUUUUGGUACUCGUUGUAGGUAUUACACGAUGCUGGUUUUAUAUUUGGGUGAAAGUUAAAAAUUAUAAAGAAAGCCUGUAAUAUAUUUGUUGCUUAAUAGUCUUACGAAAAUUCAGUGAUUUAGAAAGAACUGUAAGAUUUUUUAGUGUAGUCUUAACAUAUAUUUAUUUCUAUAUGUCUAUGUUAUAAUAUUAAUUACGCUGAUUAAUAUAGUGAGAUUUUUUAUAUAUACACACACGAUAGAUUAUUUUUAUUAAUUUUCUUUGUAGAAUAUAACUUUGGAGUAGUGAUUAAAAGUUUGGUUGAAGGAGUACCAUCAAGUUAUCUUUUUUGAUUAUCCAUUUUUAUAUUAUUUUAAACUAUAAAAGUUAUAUUCUUUUGUUACAUAUGGAGAACAGUAACAAGCUCUUUUAAGAAUUGUAAAAAGUAAAAUUUUACAUAUUUCAAAAUAAAUAUUGGCGAAACUUUUAUUUACAAA
rnacentral:misc_RNA from 1 species